UACAGAGGUGGCGAGCGUUGUUCGGAUUUACUGGGCGUAAAGGGCGCGUAGGCUGCGAUGUGUGUCGGGUGUGAAAUCCCAGGGCCCAACCCUGGAAGUGCGCCCGAAACUGCAUCGCUCGAGUGCGGGAGGGGAGAUCGGAAUACAUGGUGUAGCGGUGAAAUGCGUUGAUAUCAUGUAGAACACCGGUGGCGAAGGCGGAUCUCUGGAACGCAACUGACGCUGAGGCGCGAAAGUCGGGGGAGCAAACAGG
rnacentral:rRNA from 1 species